AGCAGCCGCGGUAAUUCCAGCUCCGAUAGCGUAUAUUAAAGUUGUUGCAGUUAAAAAGCUCGUAGUUGAAUUUCGGGGUUAGUAGGCUGGUCGUGCCAAUGGUAUGUACUGGCUUUACUGAUUCCUCCUCCUUGAAGAACUGUAAUGCCAUUAGUUUGGUGUUGCAGGGAAUCAGGACUGUUACUUUGAAAAAAUUAGAGUGUUUAAAGCAGGCUUACGCUUGAAUACAUUAGCAUGGAAUAAUGAAAUAGGACGUUGAUUCUAUUUUGUUGGUUUCUAGGAUUGACGUAAUGAUUAAUAGGGAUAGUUGGGGGCAUUAGUAUUCAAUUGUCAGAGGUGAAAUCCUUGGAUUUAUUGAAGACUAACUACUGCGAAAGCAUUUGCCAAGGAUGUUUUCAUUAAUCAAGAACGAAAGUUAGGGGAUCGAAGACGAUCAGAUACCGUCGUAGUCUUAACCAUAAACUAUGCCGACUAGGGAUCGGAUGAUGU
rnacentral:rRNA from 1 species